rnacentral:misc_RNA from 1 species
GUGAGUCAUCGAAUCUUUGAACGCACCUUGCGCUCGUUGGUAUUCCGACGAGCAUGCCUGUUUGAGUGUCAUUACAUUCUCAAUCUUACCAGUUUUGUUAUGAGACUGUGUAAGGCUUGGAUGUGGGGGUUUGUGCAGGCUGCCUCAGUGCGGUCUGCUCCCCUGAAAUGCAUUAGCGAGUUCAAACUGAGCUCCGUCUAUUGGUGUGAUAAUUAUCUACGCCGUGGAUGGUUCUUAGACUUGCUUCUAACCGUCUGCAAGGACAACUUUUGACAAUUUGACCUCAAAUCAGGUAGGACU